rnacentral:rRNA from 1 species
AGAGUUUGAUCCUGGCUCAGGACGAACGCUGGCGGCGUGCUUAACACAUGCAAGUCGAACGAGAUCCAUCCAGUGGAAACACCGGAGAAGAUCUAGUGGCGAACGGGUGAGUAACACGUGAGCAACCUGCCCCGAAGACCGGGAUAACAGCGGGAAACUGCUGCUAAUACCGGAUGUCCCCAUCGGACCGCAUGGCCUGAUGAGGAAAUGGAUUCCGCUUCGGGAGGGGCUCGCGGCCUAUCAGCUUGUUGGUGGGGUGACGGCCCACCAAGGCGACGACGGGUAGCUGGUCUGAGAGGACGAUCAGCCACACUGGGACUGAGACACGGCCCAGACUCCUACGGGAGGCAGCAGUGGGGAAUCUUGCGCAAUGGGCGAAAGCCUGACGCAGCAACGCCGCGUGAGGGAUGAAGGCCUUCGGGUUGUAAACCUCUUUCAAGCAGGGACGAUGAUGACGGUACCUGCAGAAGAAGCUCCGGCCAACUACGUGCCAGCAGCCGCGGUAAUACGUAGGGAGCGAGCGUUGUCCGGAUUCAUUGGGCGUAAAGAGCUCGUAGGCGGCUUGAUAAGUCGGAUGUGAAACCUCCAGGCUCAACCUGGAGUCGCCAUCCGAUACUGUCAUGGCUAGAGUCCGGUAGGGGCCCACGGAACUCCUGGUGUAGCGGUGAAAUGCGCAGAUAUCAGGAAGAACACCGGUGGCGAAGGCGGUGGGCUGGGCCGGCACUGACGCUGAGGAGCGAAAGCGUGGGGAGCGAACAGGAUUAGAUACCCUGGUAGUCCACGCCGUAAACGUUGGGCACUAGGUGUGGGACCUUAUCAACGGGUUCCGUGCCGUAGCUAACGCAUUAAGUGCCCCGCCUGGGGAGUACGGCCGCAAGGCUAAAACUCAAAGGACUUGACGGGGGCCCGCACAAGCGGCGGAGCAUGUGGCUUAUUCGAGGCAACGCGAAGAACCUUACCUGGGUUGAACUACGCAGGAAAAGCCGUAGAGAUACGUGUCCGCAA